rnacentral:misc_RNA from 1 species
UUGGACUUUCAUCCUCAUCAACAGACGAUUCUCCUUGUUGGAACAAAUGUUGGUGACAUUGGAAUAUGGGAAGUUGGCUCUAGGGAAAGGAUAGCACAUAAACUAUUCAAGGUUUGGGAGAUAUCGGCAUGUUCAGUGCCCUUGCAGGCAGCAUUGGCGAAGGAUGCCACAAUCUCGGUAAAUAGAUGCUUAUGGAGUCCUGACGGAUCAUUUCUUGGUUGCGCAUUCUCAAAACAUCUAGUUCAG